rnacentral:rRNA from 1 species
AGAGUGAACGCUGGCGGUAGGCCUAACACAUGCAAGUCGAACGGCAGCACAGUGGUAGCAAUACCAUGGGUGGCGAGUGGCGGACGGGUGAGGAAUACAUCGGAAUCUACCUUUUCGUGGGGGAUAACGUAGGGAAACUUACGCUAAUACCGCAUACGCCCUUCGGGGGAAAGCCGGGGAUCGCAAGACCUGGCGCGGAUAGAUGAGCCGAUGUCGGAUUAGCUAGUUGGUGAGGUAAUGGCUCACCAAGGCGACGAUCCGUAGCUGGUCUGAGAGGAUGAUCAGCCACACUGGAACUGAGACACGGUCCAGACUCCUAACGGGAGGCAGCA